rnacentral:lncRNA from 1 species
AUCGCAGUGGUCAGGCUGGUUAUAAUGAUCAGACUGGUUAUAAUGAUCACAGCGGUCAGGCUGGUUAUAAUGAUCACAGUGGUCAGGCUGGUUAUAAUGAUCACAGCGGUCAGGCUGGUUAUAAUGAUCACAGUGGUCAGGCUGGUUAUAAUGAUCACAGUGGUCAGACUGGUUAUAAUGAUCACAAUGGUCAGGCUGGUUAUAAUGAUCACAGUGGUCAGGCUGGUUAUAAUGAUCAGGCUGGUUAUAAUGAUCAGGCUGGUUAUAAUGAUCAGACUGGUUAUAAUGAUCACAGCAGUCAGGCUGGUUAUAAUGAUCACAGUGGUCAGACUGGUUAUAAUGAUCACAGUGGUCAGGCUGGUUAUAAUGAUCACAGCGGUCAGGCUGGUUAUAAUGGUCAGGCUGGUUAUAAUGGUCACAGUGGUCAGGCUGGUUAUAAUGGUCACAGUGGUCAGGCUGGUUAUAAUGGUCAGGCUGGUUAUAAUGGUCACAGUGGUCAGGCUGGUUAUAAUGGUCAGGCUGGUUAUAAUGAUCAGGCUGGUUAUAAUGAUCACAGCGGUCAGGCUGGUUAUAAUGAUCAGGCUGGUUAUAAUGGUCACAGUGGUCAGGCUGGUUAUAAUGAUCACAGUGGUCAGGCUGAUUAUAAUGAUCACAGUGGUCAGGCUGGUUAUAAAGGUCAGGCUGGUUAUAAUGAUCACAGCAUUCAGGCUGGUUAUAAUGGUCAGGCUGGUUAUAAUGAUCACAGCGGUCAGGCUGGUUAUAAUGAUCACAGUGGUCAGGCUGGUUACAAUGAUCACAGCGGUCAGGCUGGUUAUAAUGAUCGCAGUGGUCAGGCUGGUUAUAAUGGUCAGGCUGGUUAUAAUGAUCACAGCGGUCAGGCUGGUUAUAAUGAUCACAGCAUUCAGGCUGGUUAUAAUGGUCAGGCUGGUUAUAAUGAUCACAGUGGUCAGGCAGAUUAUAAUGAUCACAGUGGUCAGGCUGGUUAUAAUGAUCACAGCGGUCAGGCUGGUUAUAAUGAUCGCAGUGGUCAGGCUGGUUAUAAUGGUCAGGCUGGUUAUAAUGAUCACAGCGAUCAGGCUGGUUAUAAUGAUCACAGUGGUCAGGCUGGUUAUAAUGAUCACAGCGGUCAGGCUGGUUAUAAUGAUCGCAGUGGUCAGGCUGGUUAUAAUGGUCAGGCUGGUUAUAAUGAUCACAGCGGUCAGGCUGGUUAUAAUGAUCACAGCGGUCAGGCUGGUUAUAAUGAUCGCAGUGGUCAGGUUCGUUAGGUGUGCUUUAGGUAGUUUUUUAGGGAAGGGGGGUUUGGGGUACAAAGAUGUUUGGGAGAUAGACAUCCACACUACUUCAGUUUCUACAGUGCAUUCGGAAAGUAUUCAGACCCCUGGACUUCUUCCACGUUUUGUUACGUUACAGCCUUAUUAUAAAAUCAAUCUACACACGACACCCCAUAAUAACAAAGCAAAAACAGAUUUUUUGAAAUGUUUGCAAAUGUAUAAAAAUAAAAAUAAACGGAAAUGUCACAUUUAAGUAAGUAUUCAGACC